rnacentral:rRNA from 1 species
UACGUAGGGUGCAAGCGUUAAUCGGAAUUACUGGGCGUAAAGCGUGCGCAGGCGGUUCGCUAAGACAGAUGUGAAAUCCCCGGGCUUAACCUGGGAAUGGCGAUGGUGACUGCAAGGCUAGAGUUUGGCAGAGGGGGGUAGAAUUCCACGUGUAGCAGUGAAAUGCGUAGAUAUGUGGAGGAACACCGAUGGCGAAGGCAGCCCCCUGGGUCAAAACUGACGCUCAUGCACGAAAGCGUGGGGAGCAAACAGG